UACGGGGGGGGGCAAGCGUUGUUCGGAAUUACUGGGCGUAAAGGGCUCGUAGGUGGCCAACUAAGUCAGACGUGAAAUCCCUCGGCUUAACCGGGGAACUGCGUCUGAUACUGGAUGGCUUGAGAUUGGGAGAGGGAUGCGGAAUUCCAGGUGUAGCGGUGAAAUGCGUAGAUAUCUGGAGGAACACCGGUGGCGAAGGCGGCAUCCUGGACCAACACUGACGCUGAGGCGCGAAAGCUAGGGGAGCAAACGGG
rnacentral:rRNA from 1 species